AACUUUCAGCAACGGAUCUCUUGGUUCUGCAUCGAUGAAGAACGCAGCGAAAUGCGAUAAGUAAUGCGAAUUGCAGAAUUCCAGUGAGUCAUCGAAUCUUUGAACGCACAUUGCGCCCUUUGGUAUUCCGAAGGGCAUUCCUGUUCGAGCGUCAUUAUCACCCCUCGAGCCCUGUGCUCGGUGUUGGACGGCCGGUCGAGCGAUCGACCCCUCCUAAAGACAAUGACGGCGGCCUGCGGUUCCCCCGGUACACUGAGCUUUUCAUCGAGCACGUACCGGACCAGGGCACCCGGGACCCGGUCCUCUCCUUUCAUUAGGAAACUUUCUAUGGUUGACCUCGGAUCAGGUAGGAAUACGCGCUGAACUUAAGCAUAUCAAUAAGCGGAGGCU
rnacentral:misc_RNA from 1 species